rnacentral:tRNA from 1 species
GUCUCUGUGGCGCAAUCGGUUAGCGCGGUCGGCUGUUAACCGAAAGGUUUGUUGUUCAAGCCUACCCAGGGACG